ACUGUGAAGUCACAAGAGGCCCUGAGCUCUGUGGGCCCCAGGUGCCCCGGGAAAACUUGGGGGAGAAUGGGCAUCCCACCCCAGCACUUUCUAGGAAGAAGGGCAGCAUUUUGAAGGGCUGGAAGUAGAGGAAGGAGGUUGCGGGUAGAAGACUCCAUACUUUCUGUGACGCCUAUUCCUUAGGUAGGAACUUAGGAACCUCAGGAAUCAAGGCUAUCUGUAAUCACAGGGCUAUUUGAAAAAGAGAAGAAAAGGUGUCUUGAAAUUCAACCAACAUGUUUCAAUUAUUUGCUCCUAAGAACAACAGAAGUUUCAACAUUCUGCCAACAGAGUAACUCCUGGAAGAUUGGCACAGAAGAAGGCACAAGGAGAGCCUUUAUAUAACCAAAGAUAUUUUUGGACCAUGAAUUCAGAAAUUCUCGGAGCCACCCAUCAGUGCCUGAGCUUCAGUGAGUCCAUAUCCCAUGUCACCCACGGCAAAGGAGACUCUAAGACUUCUGAAGACUAAAGUUACAGAACCCAAAUUUGGCAACUGUCUGCAUCUGAACAACAGAAGUUUCAACAUUCUGCCAACAGAGUAACUCCUGGACGAUUGGCACAGAAGAAGGCACAAGGCAAAUACCCAUCUCUGUACACCCUGUGCUACUGUGUCAUGUGCUGCUCCAGGCAACUCCAAUGGAUUGGCCACCCUGGCCAAUGUGUUCUAGUAUGUUACGUUUAUGUUCCCCUGCUUUCUACAAUCCUGUUCAAAGAGUUGCUGACUUAACCACAGAGAGGAUUCCAGAACCUGAGACACAGAAUAAACUUGAGCAAUCAUAGUCCAUCCACUUCAUUGUCUCAUCAAAAACCAAAGGUCCAGUGAAGCUCUGGAACUCAACGCUGUAAAGGAGCGAAGGAGCUUCUAUACAGAGCCUGGAUGCCUGUCUCCUUAUCCUACUUCAGUGGACUUGACUGCAAUCCGGAUUAUGCUGUUUUCUAAGCAUUUAAAAUAAAAUAAAAAGUAUAAUAGUGUGAUAAGUUCUUUCACAAAGCAAGCAAUCACAUUUAUGUUUCUACUUACAUUUGGGUUUUCCAAAUAUGUGUGUGUGUGUGUGUGUGUGUGUGUGUGUGUGUAUGUAGACUUUAAACAUGGUGCAUCCAUCAUGUUGCACUAAAUCAAAACCACCAAAUAAUGAUGUAGAACUAAUAAAUCAAAACCAUCAAAUAAUGACAUAGAAAUCCAAUUCUCCCACCUUACACCCAUUAAGAUGGCUACU
rnacentral:lncRNA from 1 species